rnacentral:rRNA from 1 species
AACCAACAGGGAUUGCCCUAGUAACGGCGAGUGAAGCGGCAACAGCUCAAAUUUGAAAUCUGGCCUCGGCCCGAGUUGUAAUUUGCAGAGGAUGCUUCUGGCGCGGUGCCUUCCGAGUUCCCUGGAACGGGACGCCACAGAGGGUGAGAGCCCCGUAUGGUCGGACACCAAGCCUGUGUGAAGCUCCUUCGACGAGUCGAGUAGUUUGGGAAUGCUGCUCUAAAUGGGAGGUAAAUCUCUUCUAAAGCUAAAUACCGGCCAGAGACCGAUAGCGCACAAGUAGAGUGAUCGAAAGAUGAAAAGCACCUUGAAAAGGGGGUUAAAUAGUACGUGAAAUUGUUGAAAGGGAAGCACUUAUGACCAGACUUGGGCCGGGCGGCUCAUCAGGGGUUCUCCCCUGUGCACUCCGCCCGGCACAGGCCAGCAUCGGUUCUCGUGGGGGGAUAAGACCGUCAGGAACGUAGCACCCUCCGGGGUGUGUUAUAGCCUGGCGGACGAUACCCCCGUGGGGACCGAGGUCCGCGCUCCGCAAGGAUGCUGGCGUAAUGGUCAUCAGUGAC